CCUACGGGAGGCAGCAGUUAGGGGAAUUUUCGGGCAAUGGGCGCAAGCCUGAUCCAGCAACGCCGCGUGUGUGGAUGAAGGCCUCGGGUUGUAAAGCACUUUCAGUUGGGAAGAUAAUGACGUUACCAACAGAAGAAGCACCGGCUAACUCCGUGCCCAGCAGCCGCGG
rnacentral:rRNA from 1 species